ACGCUCGACACCUACGGGACAGCAGUGGGGAAUAUUGCACAAUGGGGGAAACCCUGAUGCAGCGACGCCGCGUGGAGGAAGAAGGUCUUCGGAUUGUAAACUCCUGUUGUUGGGGAAAAAGAGGAUGGUACCCAACAAGGAAGUGACGGCUAACUACGUGCCAGCAGCCGACGGUAAUCUGAGGCGGGCUGGCAAGGC
rnacentral:rRNA from 1 species